ACUCAAAGGAAUUGACGGGAGCUUGCACAAGUGGUGGAGCGUGUGGCUCAAUUCGUCGCUAAGCGAAGAACCUUACCAGGGCUAGAAAUCCUACUGCACGUCUCGUGAAAGCGAGGAAGCCUUCGAGGGUGUAGGACAGGUGAUGCAUGGCUGUCGUCAGUUCGUGGUUUGAAUCGUUCCCUUCAGUGGGGUAACGAACGCAACCUUCGUUGCCUGUUACACGUAUCAGGCGAGACUGCCCCCUCACGGGGGAGGAAGGUGGAGAUGACGCCAAGUCAGCAUGUCCCUCUGAUGCCCUGGGCUGCACACGCGCUACAAUCGCCGUUACAACGAGGCGCAAUGUCGUAAGACGGAGCAAAUCUUUCAAAAGCGGCGCCAGUUCGGAUUGAGGUCUGCAACCCGACCUCAUGAAGCCGGAAUCACUAGUAAUCGCGGGUCAGCCACACCGCGGUGAAUACGUUCUCAAGCUUUGUACACACCGCCCGU
rnacentral:rRNA from 1 species